UAUAAUUGAUAAUAUGUCAAAUUUUCCCUAAAAUAAAUAAAUAGUAAAAAAGAACAAAAGAACCAUCUUCUCUCUUGAUUAGCCACCGUUAUUAAGAACAUAAGAAACAACGAAUGAGAAAGGAUGAAUGUAUGAACAACGAUUAGAGAGAGAAAAGGGAUAGAGAGGGGUCGGAGAGAUGAAACACAGGAAAUGUCAUGGCCCGAUUCCGACAUACGUUCAGGAUUGACGCGCGACCGUAGACUAUAAGGGAAUGCCAAGAAUACAACUGAAAUACUGAACUGAAAUUUUACAAUAUUUACCAUAGGGCCAAGACAUGCCCGUAGGUUCCCAAAAAAAAGUCCAAAGAAAGUAUAAGGAAAGAUAUAGGGGUAACCUAAUCACUCCAAGCUCUCUAAACUCUGUUUGCUACCCCAAAGCUCCACGUAUCAACUAAAACCUGCACAACGCCCCCUACAUCGUGGGAAUGGUGCACUGGGCAAACAACAACCUGGAUAAGUCGCGAAGCUCGUGUGAGUGAUAAUAAUGCAACGUAUGUGAUAAUAAUAAAAACAAUACAUCGAUCACGAUUUAUAAACAUCAAAUAUAAAAUCAUAUUUUAUGAAAUCAUAAUCAAGCCACUGAAAAUCCCGAAUGAAUCACACAGACAUCCAUCGACAUAUCUGAAACAAAUCACAAAGGUUCACAAUCAAUAACUCAUGCAAUGUGCCAAAAUGCAGGGCUAGAGCGACACAGUUCGGCUGAAGCCCACAUCUCUAAAGCUUUCUCAAUUUAGACCCAAUCCAACGAAUCAACGAAGUCAAGAAUGUGAUUUCCGACCACUCAACAAAAUCCAACAACAUCGGGUUCUGAACCACUCAACGGAACCAAAAUACCAAGUGAGACUCCGGACCACUCAACGAAAUUACGGAGUAUAAGGGAUUUCGGACCUCUCAACGGAAUCCAAGUGGAUACGAUUCCGGACCACUCAACAGAAUCGCGGAGUACAAUGGAUAUCGGACCACUUCGCGGAAUCCAAAGCAGGAUACGAUUUCGAACCGCUCAACAGAAUCGCAGAGUACAAGGGAUUCCAAAUCACUCAACGGAAUCCAGACGAAGUAGGGAACCGGACCACUCAACGAACCCCAGUAGGACUCAGUUCCGGAUCACUCAACGGAACUGAGCAGAAGUCCAAGAAACAUAACCACGACUUGAAGAAGCAAGACAUGAAUAAAGUUGCUCAAUUUAUAAAGGCUCAACGAAUGAAACAAAGCACAAGUUACACAAUUUAGAACGGCUCAACAAUGGAAAAAUGAAAUAAGAAACGGGAUAUGAAGCAAGUUUUGAAGCAACAAAUCCCCAUGUCAAAGGGUUAACAGUCCACUACUAGCCCUCACAUUUCACAAACAGUUCACAUGCAUUUCAAAUCAUAUUUAACAAAUAUUUCCAAUCUAUAAGUCAAAUCACAUUUAAUAAAAAUAGAUCGAUGGCUAAAUAUAAAAUAACAAUUUAAUAUAAAACAUAGUUCUAAAUCAUGCCGUAUCCACAAAGAAUACUAGCACGGAGUUUUCAGGGUAAUAACCAGAUCACAUGUAUUAAAGUCACUCACCUGGAGUUCGCGUUACGACUCCCAAGCACGAAUAUCAAGGCGUCACGAACGAUCGUCGCCUAAAACAAGUAUCAAAUCACGUUUCAAAAUUUUAUAGCUAGAACACGUAAUCGUAGUUUGUACACGUCAUCUAGGAUAUUUUAGAAUGAUUUGAGACCGGUUGACCAAAAGUCAACCGUUGGUCAAAGGUUAACGGUAGGGUCUAGGGCUGGGUUCGGUUUAAAACGAUUCGGUUUUUUGCCAAAAUUGAAACCGAACCGAAAUUUUGGUUCAGUUCUGUUUGGUUCUUUUUUUUUCGGUUCGAUUUUUUUCGGUUUUGAUUUUUUCCGGUUCGGGUUUCGGUUUUUUCGGUUUUUUUUUUUUCAAAAAAUGAUGUAAAUAAUGGAAGGAGCUUACCUAUCAACCUCCCAAUUCUCAUAUAUCAGAGAAUUGAGAGCCUCAAAAUCCUGAAUAUAUUCAAGCAUUUCAACUACUUAUGAUCAAGCAAAUACAUAAACAUAUAUACUUCAAGGAAAUGUACAGGAUUCGAAAUUCUAAAACUUUAAAAUUUGCAAAAUCAUGAAAUAAUUCAACAAAUUACCUGAUGCAGAUCGAAACAAAAAAAAAAGCAAAUGGGUUCGUCUAAAUGCCAUAAUCGGACUCCAAUAUCACAUGCCCAGUGCCCACAUUCAAAUUCAUAGUCAAGUCCACAAUAGAUCUAGAAAAUUCCAAAACAUAUUCAGAGAAAAAUACAAACUUUUCCACCUUAAAUUACAUAAAUUUCAAAUGGGUAACCAUAAAAUUAAAAACCCAUAAACUGAAAAAUAAAUAAAACCCACAACCUUUGCUGCAGCGAUAUCGCAGUGAUCGUCGCAAGCUCUUACAAUUCCUCUUUUCGUCGGGUCUCGAAAUGGGCGAGGGAAAAUCAUUGUUUGGAAGAAAGAAUCCGCGAGGAGGACAAGAGAAGACUAGAGAGAGUGAUUUGGAGGAAGAAAGGAAGGAGAGGGAGAGAGAGAGACUGAGGAAGCAAGCAGAGAGGAAGCAGCGGCGGGGAGAGAGAGCGAGUGUUUGAGUCUCAAACUUUGAGAUCUGAAAAUGAAAUGGGAGUGGGAC
rnacentral:lncRNA from 1 species